UACGUAGGUGACAAGCGUUGUCCGGAUUUACUGGGCGUAAAGAGCGCGCAGGCGGUCGUUCAAGUCGAGUGUGAAAAGCCCCCGGCUCAACUGGGGAGGGUCAUUCGAAACUGGUCGACUCGAAGGCAGGAGAGGGUAGUGGAAUUCCCGGUGUAGUGGUGAAAUGCGUAGAUAUCGGGAGGAACACCAGUGGCGAAGGCGACUACCUGGCCUGUUCUUGACGCUGAGGCGCGAAAGCUAGGGUAGCAAACGGG
rnacentral:rRNA from 1 species